CUCCGCUUCCAUGUUUCCCUUUGCAGUCACUUUCACACUUGGUAAGGCUUCCACAGCAGCCCUCACAAAUUAUUUCAUCACACGAUCGUGCCUCUGUCACUUUUACUAGCCCUUCAUUUCCUAUGCCACACACACAUGCGUUAUUGAAUGAAUACCAGUUAUUAUUGUACAUAUUAAGACUUAUAAAAGGUUAGAAACUUGUUCAAAAUCAACAACUUUGUAAAACUAUAAAAUAUAAUAAAACUGAGUAUAUUCAACAUUUGCAAAGCAAAACAUACCAAUAGUAAGAGUAAGAACUAGCAGAACGAUUAAAACUGAAUUGAUAGUCUUCAUCUUUGAUUUCUGAACAUGUACCUACCUUCAGUUCUG
rnacentral:lncRNA from 1 species